CUUGCUUCCCUUUCCUCGAGGAACGAGGUUGUCCCUGCAAUUGAACAGUUGAAGGGCUGUCACCUCUGUCCCUUUUGCUGGACGUGGCUGCAGAGAAAUGGGAAGAGGGUGUUCUUUCAAGCAGAAGGGUAUCAAUGGGGUUCAGCUGUAGGGGUGUCUGCCUCACCAGAACUUACGCCUGCAGCAGAUGCUCUCUAAUCAAAUGGCCAAGUGCUUCAUCAAUGCAACAACUGUUGUUCUGGACAUGGGUAAUGCUCAGCUUUGCUUCCUUCACCGAGAGAUGUCUUGCUUCAGAC